rnacentral:rRNA from 1 species
AGAGUUUGAUCAUGGCUCAGAUUGAACGCUGGCGGCAGGCCUAACACAUGCAAGUCGAGCGGUAGCACAGAGAGCUUGCUCUCGGGUGACGAGCGGCGGACGGGUGAGUAAUGUCUGGGAAACUGCCUGAUGGAGGGGGAUAACUACUGGAAACGGUAGCUAAUACCGCAUAAUGUCGCAAGACCAAAGUGGGGGACCUUCGGGCCUCAUGCCAUCAGAUGUGCCCAGAUGGGAUUAGCUAGUAGGUGGGGUAACGGCUCACCUAGGCGACGAUCCCUAGCUGGUCUGAGAGGAUGACCAGCCACACUGGAACUGAGACACGGUCCAGACUCCUACGGGAGGCAGCAGUGGGGAAUAUUGCACAAUGGGCGCAAGCCUGAUGCAGCCAUGCCGCGUGUGUGAAGAAGGCCUUCGGGUUGUAAAGCACUUUCAGCGGGGAGGAAGGCGAUAAGGUUAAUAACCUUGCCGAUUGACGUUACCCGCAGAAGAAGCACCGGCUAACUCCGUGCCAGCAGCCGCGGUAAUACGGAGGGUGCAAGCGUUAAUCGGAAUUACUGGGCGUAAAGCGCACGCAGGCGGUCUGUCAAGUCGGAUGUGAAAUCCCCGGGCUCAACCUGGGAACUGCAUUCGAAACUGGCAGGCUAGAGUCUUGUAGAGGGGGGUAGAAUUCCAGGUGUAGCGGUGAAAUGCGUAGAGAUCUGGAGGAAUACCGGUGGCGAAGGCGGCCCCCUGGACAAAGACUGACGCUCAGGUGCGAAAGCGUGGGGAGCAAACAGGAUUAGAUACCCUGGUAGUCCACGCCGUAAACGAUGUCGAUUUGGAGGUUGUGCCCUUGAGGCGUGGCUUCCGGAGCUAACGCGUUAAAUCGACCGCCUGGGGAGUACGGCCGCAAGGUUAAAACUCAAAUGAAUUGACGGGGGCCCGCACAAGCGGUGGAGCAUGUGGUUUAAUUCGAUGCAACGCGAAGAACCUUACCUGGUCUUGACAUCCACAGAACUUUCCAGAGAUGGAUUGGUGCCUUCGGGAACUGUGAGACAGGUGCUGCAUGGCUGUCGUCAGCUCGUGUUGUGAAAUGUUGGGUUAAGUCCCGCAACGAGCGCAACCCUUAUCCUUUGUUGCCAGCGGUUCGGCCGGGAACUCAAAGGAGACUGCCAGUGAUAAACUGGAGGAAGGUGGGGAUGACGUCAAGUCAUCAUGGCCCUUACGACCAGGGCUACACACGUGCUACAAUGGCAUAUACAAAGAGAAGCGACCUCGCGAGAGCAAGCGGACCUCAUAAAGUAUGUCGUAGUCCGGAUUGGAGUCUGCAACUCGACUCCAUGAAGUCGGAAUCGCUAGUAAUCGUAGAUCAGAAUGCUACGGUGAAUACGUUCCCGGGCCUUGUACACACCGCCCGUCACACCAUGGGAGUGGGUUGCAAAAGAAGUAGGUAGCUUAACCUUCGGGAGGGCGCUUACCACUUUGUGAUUCAUGACUGGGGUGAAGUCGUAACAAGGUAACCGUAGGGGAACCUGCGGUUGGAUCACCU